rnacentral:rRNA from 1 species
AUCUGCCUUUGAGCGGGGGACACCCUUUGGAAACGAAUGCUAAUACCGCAUAACAACUUUAAACACAAGUUUUAAGUUUGAAAGAUGCAAUUGCAUCACUCAAAGAUGAUCCCGCGUUGUAUUAGCUAGUUGGUGAGGUAAAGGCUCACCAAGGCGAUGAUACAUAGCCGACCUGAGAGGGUGAUCGGCCACAUUGGGACUGAGACACGGCCCAAACUCCUACGGGAGGCAGCAGUAGGGAAUCUUCGGCAAUGGACGAAAGUCUGACCGAGCAACGCCGCGUGAGUGAAGAAGGUUUUCGGAUCGUAAAACUCUGUUGGUAGAGAAGAACGUUGGUGAGAGUGGAAAGCUCAUCAAGUGACGGUAACUACCCAGAAAGGGACGGCUAACUACGUGCCAGCAGCCGCGGUAAUACGUAGGUCCCGAGCGUUGUCCGGAUUUAUUGGGCGUAAAGCGAGCGCAGGUGGUUUAUUAAGUCUGGUGUAAAAGGCAGUGGCUCAACCAUUGUAUGCAUUGGAAACUGGUAGACUUGAGUGCAGGAGAGGAGAGUGGAAUUCCAUGUGUAGCGGUGAAAUGCGUAGAUAUAUGGAGGAACACCGGUGGCGAAAGCGGCUCUCUGGCCUGUAACUGACACUGAGGCUCGAAAGCGUGGGGAGCAAACAGGAUUAGAUACCCUGGUAGUCCACGCCGUAAACAAUGAGUGCUAGAUGUAGGGAGCUAUAAGUUCUCUGUAUCG